UCUAUUUCCGUUGGGAGCAGUUGCGAAGUGAGGUUGGCCUGCGCGGGUGGAAGCAGACAUGACGUCAGCUUGUGGCCUUUGCUGCUAAGUCACUUCAGUCAUGUCCGACUCUGUGUGACCCCAUAGACGGCAGCCCACCAGGCUCCCCCGUCCCUGGGAUUCUCCAGGCAAGAAUACUGGAGUGGGUUGCCAUUUCCUUCUCCAACGCAUGAAAGUGGAAAGUGAAAGUGAAGUCGCUCAGUCGUGUCCGACCCUUAGCGACCCCAUGGACUGCAGCCUACCAGGCUCCUCCGUUCAUGGGAUUUUCCAGGCAAGAGUACUGGAGUAGGGUGUCAUUGCCUUCUCCUUGUGGCGUUUGGUAAAGGCCAAACUUUACCAAAAGUUUGUCACUUCUGUAAAGGCAGAGCCACCUGUGUGAGGAGGACAUCAGCAAGCAGAGCUGAGAGUUCAGGAGAGAUGGUUCCGGCUGACGUCCUAAAACUCCCGAGUGCAGCCCUGGCGGACGCUUGUGGACUUAGGGUGAGAGGCUUUGUGUCCACUUCUUCCCCACGUGCAUCCUGCUCACUUCCAUUGCUGGGGCCCCGGGACCUGUACUGUGCACAUCUGCUCUGCUCUGCUCACAGCGCACCCCAUGGGCCAUAAGAUUUCACUCUUAAAAGGUAAGUGUAAGGGUAAAAUACUCCAUAGUUAAGAAUUUCAAGGUGGCAACAGCGUUGACAGAAGCACGAGAGCUCAGGUACAAGGCUCAUGUGUUAGACAAGCUGCUGUGUGGGCUUCAAGACACUCCAUGUAGAGGGUGGGGUGGGGGUGGUCAGGGAGGUUCUGAGACACUCAGCUCACCCGGUUCCUGCACAGCCAACUCCAGGCUCUAUUCUUGGCAGGGUGGGUGACAGUCGGCACUGCCUGCCUGUGUGGAGGGGCUCAGAGGCUGCCCAGCUCAGCAGGAAUGGCAGUGAGGGGAAGGAAGGGCACCCUCCCUUAGCAUUCCUGACUUCACACCUCCUUGU
rnacentral:lncRNA from 1 species